rnacentral:tRNA from 1 species
GGGCAGUUAGCUCAGUCAGUUGAGCGUGGCACUAACAAUGCCAAGGUCGUAGGAUCGAUUCCCUUUCGGUCCC